rnacentral:snRNA from 1 species
AUACUUUCUUGGCCUUUUGGCUAAGAUCAAGUGAAGAUGCCCUGGUCUUUAAGAAAAAAAUAUUAAUAGUAGAGUAUACUCUGGAAUGAUUUUGCAAAGAAAUGUGUUCUGCACAUGUUCUUUAGUAGGA